rnacentral:lncRNA from 1 species
UGGCCAUGGGUAUCUAUCCUUUGUGAUCAUCGUUUAGAUUUAGUUCUUAGAGACGGUCUCCAUCAUUUGCAUGGUAAUGCAUAUGUGAACUUAAUUGAGCAAGCAGUGAUUACCAUUGAAUCUGAGAGAUCCAGAAUUGAGAUAACCUCAAAGUAUAUGUGGAAUCUUAGGCUAAGUUAUAUUAGAGAAGAAAUGAUUAACAAACUGAAAAAAUAUGGGCUUGGGCUCAUUGACUGUUGAGUCAAAUCUAAUUUGUGUAUCAUCUCUUUGAGGAAAUAUGACCAAGCUACUCUUGUGGGAUAAGAGAAAAGGACCACUGAGAUACUUAUCCUUGUACAUAUUUGAUGUGUGUGUAGCCCAUGUGAUGGGCUAACCAAGGAGUUGUCUCUACUUUGUUACCUUUACCGAUGAUCAGUCAUGGUAUGGGUAAGUAUAUAAGAUAUGGCAUAAUUUCAUAUUGGACUGCUCUUAGUAUAUCUC